UACAGGAGGGGGCAAGCGUUGUUCGGAAUUAUUGGGCGUAAAGGGUGCGUAGGCGGGUCUUUAAGUCAGGGGUGAAAUCCUGGAGCUCAACUCCAGAACUGCCUUUGAUACUGAAGAUCUUGAGUUCGGGAGAGGUGAGUGGAACUGCGAGUGUAGAGGUGAAAUUCGUAGAUAUUCGCAAGAACACCAGUGGCGAAGGCGGCUCACUGGCCCGAUACUGACGCUGAGGCACG
rnacentral:rRNA from 1 species